UUUAUAGGAUUUGGUGACUUAUUGGAUAUGUGGGACAGGUUGAAGAUGGAAUAGGUGUAAAGCCUGGGAGGAUGAUGAAACAUUUACCAAGAUCAGAAAUUCUUGACAUCACUCAGCGUCUGAAGGGAUCGUUUAAAUGUCUCAGUUAUACGUGAAUGCAUUUUGAGGAAGAAAGUCUGGAAACUCCCAAAUUCCCUGGCCCUGCUUUCCCCCUAGUACUGUAAACUGCACAAUUCUGUUCUCACCAGUAACUGCUGAUACCUGGUAAG